rnacentral:rRNA from 1 species
GACGAACGCUGGCGGCGUGCCUAAUACAUGCAAGUUGAGCGAUGAAGAUUGGUGCUUGCACCAAUUUGAAGAGCAGCGAACGGGUGAGUAACGCGUGGGGAAUCUGCCUUUGAGCGGGGGACAACAUUUGGAAACGAAUGCUAAUACCGCAUAACAACUUUAAACAUAAGUUUUAAGUUUGAAAGAUGCAAUUGCAUCACUCAAAGAUGAUCCCGCGUUGUAUUAGCUAGUUGGUGAGGUAAAGGCUCACCAAGGCGAUGAUACAUAGCCGACCUGAGAGGGUGAUCGGCCACAUUGGGACUGAGACACGGCCCAAACUCCUACGGGAGGCAGCAGUAGGGAAUCUUCGGCAAUGGACGAAAGUCUGGACGAGCAACGCCGCGUGAGUGAAGAAGGUUUUCGGAUCGUAAAACUCUGUUGGUAGAGAAGAACGUUGGUGAGAGUGGAAAGCUCAUCAAGUGACGGUAACUACCCAGAAAGGGACGGCUAACUACGUG